rnacentral:rRNA from 1 species
UACGUAGGGUGCGAGCGUUAAUCGGAAUUACUGGGCGUAAAGCGUGCGUAGGCGGUUCGCUGUGUCCGAUGUGAAAGCCCCGGGCCUAACCUGGGAAUGGCAUUGGAAACUGGCGGGCUUGAGUGCGGCAGAGGGGGGUGGAAUUCCGCGUGUAGCAGUGAAAUGCGUAGAGAUGCGGAGGAACACCGAUGGCGAAGGCAGCCCCCUGGGUCGACACUGACGCUCAGGCACGAAAGCGUGGGGAGCAAACAGG